rnacentral:tRNA from 1 species
GCUCCAGUGGUUCAAUGGAUGAACAGCGUCCUUCUAAGGCGUUUUAUGCGGGUUCGAGUCCUGUCUGGAGUA